rnacentral:rRNA from 1 species
GACGAACGCUGGCGGCAGGCCUAACACAUGCAAGUCGAACGAGUGGCGGACGGGUGAGUAAUGUCUGGGAAACUGCCUGAUGGAGGGGGAUAACUACUGGAAACGGUAGCUAAUACUGCAUACGAGAGGAUGUGCCCAUAUGGGAUUAGCUAGUAGGUGGGGUAAAGGCUCACCUAGGCGACGAUCCCUAGCUGGUCUGAGAGGAUGACCAGCCACACUGGAACUGAGACACGGUCCAGACUCCUACGGGAGGCAGCAGUGGGGAAUAUUCCCCAAUGGGCGCAAGCCUGAUGCAGCCAUGCCGCGUGUAUGAAGAAGGUCUUCGGAUUGUAAAGUACUUUCGGCGGGGAAGCGUUACCCACAGAAAAAGCACCGGCUAACUCCGUGCCAGCAGCCGCGGUAAUAC